UCUGGCAGCCACACGGCUUUGUGCUGUGAGCCUGUCCGUCCUUACUAGCUAAGCGAGGGCUGCUCUGCUCUGCUGCAAGGAUGAGAGACCUCCCAGGAACAAGAAGGUACUUCAGGAA
rnacentral:rRNA from 1 species